rnacentral:rRNA from 1 species
UACAGAGGUCUCAAGCGUUGUUCGGAUUCAUUGGGCGUAAAGGGUGUGUAGGUGGCGCCGUAGGUCGGGUGUGAAAUUUCGGAGCUUAACUCCGAAACUGCAUUCGAUACUGCGGUGCUUGAGGACUGGAGAGGAGACUGGAAUUCAUGGUGUAGCAGUGAAAUGCGUAGAGAUCAUGAGGAAGACCAGUGGCGAAGGCGGCAUCCUGGCCUGUUCUUGACGCUGAGGCGCGAAAGCUAGGGGAGCAAACGGG